rnacentral:lncRNA from 1 species
CAUCACCGAGUCCCGGGCCGCCGCAGUCGCCUCGUCGCACGACUCGAGAACUCCCGCGCGGCCACGGGUCUCGCGAGAGCCGCACGGCCUCCGUCCAGCCUCCGGAGCCUGCCUUCCGCGGGCGGCUGCGGCCGCGCAGCUCGGAGCGGCGGUAGGGGAGCGUGUGCGAGGGAGCCGGGUAACUGGAAAGGGGUCCGAACAGAACCCCAAGUGGCCUCCGCCGUCGAGAACGAGAUAGCUCCCCUAUUGUGUAGGGAGGUCCUACGGUUUUCGGAAGGAAAACGUGUCUUUCACUAGGGAGAAGCCGCUGCGGGCUUGAGGGGAAAGCACGGACGGAAUAACGUGUGUCAAGAUUGAUUAUCUUAGGUGGAGGAGAAAAAAAAUACUGAGGAUCUCAAAAGAUAAAGAGGUUGGACUUAAUCCUACAGCAAAAGAUGUUUGUAAUCCAAUGGACACACAAAAAUGCACUGAGGAAAAAAGUCGCAAAGGUCGCGUGAAAUGCCGGGAAGUUAGACACGAGGCAACGAGAAGAAGACUGUUCUGCAAGGGUUGCGUAACACUUCCACGUCAUGGGGAGAGUGACCUGUGCUAUAGUGAAGUGCACUUAAGGAAUUGCACUGAUGCUGGGAGAGGAUUUCUGACCAUAGGGACUUCCUGAAUCUCCUUCAGAGAAUACCACGUAAGUGUUGCCGGCUACCACGCCAGAGACCAGCUCGGUUUAAUAGCAGCUACUCUGCCACAGUGACAGGGGCUUUGUCGAAUUGCAGAAGCUAUCUAGAAGGCACUUAAAGAUGGUGUACAUUCCACUUCUUUGAAAGGUCAGCUUGGGAAACCUGCCUAGGAGAGAUAGUAAGGAUAAACAUAUCCUCCCAGCUCUGUAAUAUCGAGAAGCCAGCAUGGUUCUCUAGAGGUAAG